rnacentral:rRNA from 1 species
CCUACGGGGGGCAGCAGUCGAGAAUCAUUCACAAUGGGGGAAACCCUGAUGGUGCGACGCCGCGUGGGGGAAUGAAGGUCUUCGGAUUGUAAACCCCUGUCAUGUGGGAGCAAAUUAAAAAGAUCGUACCACAAGAGGAAGAGACGGCUAACUCUGUGCCAGCAGCCGCGGUAAUACAGAGGUCUCAAGCGUUGUUCGGAAUCACUGGGCGUAAAGCGUGCGUAGGCUGUUUCGUAAGUCGUGUGUGAAAGGCGCGGGCUCAACCCGCGGACGGCACAUGAUACUGCGAGACUAGAGUAAUGGAGGGGGAACCGGAAUGCUCGGUGUAGCAGUGAAAUGCGUAGAUAGCGAGAGGAACACUCGUGGCGAAGGCGGGUUACUGGACAUUAACUGACGCUGAGGCACGAAGGCCAGGGGAGCGAAAGGGAUUAGAUACCCGGGUAGUC